rnacentral:rRNA from 1 species
GACGAACGCUGGCGGCGUGCUUAACACAUGCAAGUCGAACGGAAAGGCCCUGCUUUUGUGGGGUGCUCGAGUGGCGAACGGGUGAGUAACACGUGAGUAACCUGCCCUUGACUUUGGGAUAACUUCAGGAAACUGGGGCUAAUACCGGAUAGGAGCUCCUGCUGCAUGGUGGGGGUUGGAACGUUUCGGCGGUUGGGGCUGGACUCGCGGCUUAUCAGCUUGUUGGUGGGGUAGUGGCUUACCAAGGCUUUGACGGGUAGCCGGCCUGAGAGGGUGACCGGCCACAUGGGGACUGAGAUACGGCCCAGACGCCUACGGGAGGCAGUAGUGGGGAAUAUUGCACAAUGGUCGGAAGCCUGAUGCAGCAACGCCGCGUGCGGGAUGACGGCCUUCGGGUUGUAAACCGCUUUCGCCUGUGACGAAGCGUGAGUGACGGUAAUGGGUAAAUAAGCACCGGCUAACUACGUG